GCUAAGCAAAUUUUGCUAGUCUGAGUGCCUGAUCUCGUCAGAUCUCAGAUGUUGUGCAGACUUGGGCCUGCUUAGUACUUGUAUGGGAGACCAGCUAGGAACCUCAGGUGUCGUAAGCU
rnacentral:rRNA from 1 species